rnacentral:piRNA from 1 species
UGCAACUUAGGUGCCGGUCCUCCUCCGUUCU